rnacentral:rRNA from 1 species
UACGUAGGGUGCGAGCGUUAAUCGGAAUUACUGGGCGUAAAGCGUGCGCAGGCGGCUUUGCAAGACAGAUGUGAAAUCCCCGGGCUCAACCUGGGAACUGCAUUUGUGAUUGCAAGGCUAGAGUACGGCAGAGGGGGAUGGAAUUCCGCGUGUAGCAGUGAAAUGCGUAGAUAUGCGGAGGAACACCAAUGGCGAAGGCAAUCCCCUGGGCCUGUACUGACGCUGAGGUGCGAAAGCGUGGGGAGCAAACAGG